rnacentral:lncRNA from 1 species
GUUUUGGCUUUUAAAGAUGAAUUACAAUGUUUAUUAUUUUUUGUUUUUCUUUCUUUCUUUCUCUGUUGUUCUCUGUUUCUUCUUUUUGUAAGUGACAUAGUGGCGUUCUUCGGGUUAAUGGCUGUGGAGUUGUGCCCUUUUCCAUUUCGGUGAAAUGGUGGCAGAGGAUAGGGGUGUCAGAUCUGGGGGUCUUGGGGGUAUGCCUCUUGACGUAGGGCAACG